GCCCUUGACGAAAUUCUUCUGAAUUUGCCUUCAACGUGCUAAAACCCCCACCCGGGGCGUCCACAAUCAUCUCGCUGGACCUAAACAUCUUUUCGUGUCCGAUGAAAGUAGUCUCAGUGUACAUUGGUGUUUCUCCGCGUAGUUUAGCUUCUGUUAGCUUGCUAGCCGCGAACAAAGAGGCCCUCGUGCUCAACACAUCGCUGCGCGGAGAUGGUUAGCGGAAAGUGCUGUUGCAAUUUUCGCACCAUGUGCACAAGAAGGACAUCAGAAUACGAGGAGGAACUUUGUAAAGAAAAAGAGGACCACAAGGAACAACGUCAACUGCUGGACGCCAUUCGCAGGAUGCAGCCAAGAGUUGUUCUUCACAGAUUAGAUAUUAGCAAAGAUGCUUGUCCUGAGUGGCUGGAUGCAGACUCCUUUCACAUUAAAGAGGAAGAGG